rnacentral:ncRNA from 1 species
ACGGAACACGGACGCUGAGAUCCUCGGGCACCAGCUACACGGUCGCCCAUCGCGUCGAAGGGGCAUCCCUCAGGGGCACACCCGACGGCUCGAUGGCUCGAGGGGAGCGAGUGGCGAGACCGGCCGUGAGAUGA